rnacentral:ncRNA from 1 species
GACGGUGCGGUACACCUGCCAAACGGUAACGCGGGAGGACAGAAAUCUCAGAAGGGCAAAAGCUUGCUUGAUCUUGAUUUUCAGUAUGAAUACAGACCGUGAAAGCGCAGCCUCACGAUCCUUCUGGCGUUUUGGGUUUUAAGCAGGAG